AUUGAACGCUGGCGGCAGGCUUAACACAUGCAAGUCGAGCGGAGAUGAGGUGCUUGCACCUUAUCUUAGCGGCGGACGGGUGAGUAAUGCUUAGGAAUCUGCCUAUUAGUGGGGGACAACAUUCCGAAAGGAAUGCUAAAUACCGCAUACGUCCUACGGGAGAAAGCAGGGGAUCUUCGGACCUUGCGCUAAUAGAUGAGCCUAAGUCGGAUUAGCUGGUUGGGGGUACAGGCCUACCAAGGCGACGAUCUGUAGCGGGUCUGAGAGGAUGAUCCGCCAGACUGGGACGGAGACACGGCACAGACUCCUACGGGAGGCAGCAGUGGGGAAUAUUGGACAAUGGGCGGAAGCCUGAUCCAGCCAUGCCGCGUGUGUGAAGAAGGCCUUUUGGUUGUAAAGCACUUUAAGCGAGGAGGAGGCUACCUAGAUUAAUACUCUGGGAUAGUGGACGUUACUCGCAGAAUAAGCACCGGCUAACUCUGUGCCAGCCGCCGCCGUAAAAC
rnacentral:rRNA from 1 species